GGGCCCAUAGUUUCAAUUGGUUCAAACAGCGGUCUCCAAAACCGUUAUUCCCUGUUCGAAUCAGGGUGGGCCUG
rnacentral:tRNA from 1 species